AUUGAACGCUGGCGGCAUGCCUUACACAUGCAAGUCGAACGGCAGCGGGCCUUCGGGUGCCGGCGAGUGGCGAACGGGUGAGUAAUGCAUCGGAACGUGCCAUUGAGUGGGGGGAUAACGUAGCGAAAGUUACGCUAAUACCGCAUAUUCUGUGAGCAGGAAAGCAGGGGAUCGCAAGACCUUGCGCUCUGGGAGCGGCCGAUGUCGGAUUAGCUAGUUGGUGGGGUAAAGGCCUACCAAGGCGACGAUCCGUAGCGGGUCUGAGAGGAUGAUCCGCCACACUGGGACUGAGACACGGCCCAGACUCCUACGGGAGGCAGCAGUGGGGAAUUUUGGGACAAUGGGCGGAAGCCUGAUCCAGCCAUGCCGCGUGAGUGAAGAAGGCCUUCGAGUUGUAAAGCUCUUUCGCAAGGAAAGAAAACUUAAUCUCCUAAUACGAGGUGAGGUUGAGGUACCUUGAUAAGAAGA
rnacentral:rRNA from 1 species